AUUGAACGUUGGCGGCAGGCCUAAUACAUGCAAGUCGAACGGCAGCACAGAGAGCUUGCUCUUGGGUGGCGAGUGGCGGACGGGUGAGUAACGCGUAGGAAUCUACCCAGUAGCGGGGGAUAGCCCGGGGAAACUCGGAUUAAUACCGCAUACGCCCCACGGGGGAAAGGCCGGGAUCUUCGGACCGGUCACUAUUGGAGGAGCCUGCGUUGGAUUAGCUUGUUGGUGGGGUAAAGGCCUACCAAGGCUACGAUCCAUAGCUGGUCUGAGAGGACGAUCAGCCACACUGGAACUGAGACACGGUCCAGACUCCUACGGGAGGCAGCAGUAGGGAAUAUUGUGCAAUGGGCGAAAGCCUGACACAGCCAUGCCGCGUGUGUGAAGAAGGCCCUAGGGUUGUAAAGCACUUUCAGUAGGAGGAA
rnacentral:rRNA from 1 species